CAGAAGGGAGGCUUCGGGGGAACCAACAGCCUUGUUAUUCCAAACAGUCACAGUCCUGCUGACGUGUGGAUGUGGGGAGGUGUGGAAAUUAUCCAAAUGGAGGAAGCGAGAGGCAACUAGAGUCAUGCAGUGUUCCGGCUUCCCUUCCUCACCUGGCUGCGUUGUGUUGUGCUGGUAAAGAUGAGUGGCUUCACGCUCCAGAGAGAGGUGCUAAGUGCUCACUAUUAAUAACAGACAAAGCUAUUAUUUUUUCUUUCAUUCUCAUAUUUGAUUACAAUGAAAACACAAGAAUUUCUGACAUAAGUGAAUUCCAAUCGUGUUUUAUUCUUACAUUUCUGAACGUUUACCUUCACUACUCCUCCUCCUCCUCCAUGGUGAUGGUGAGUAAGUGUUGGAGAUAUAUACGGUAUCUAAAAGUCGUCUCAGUUAAUGUCUCUCCUCCUUGCAUUUAGUAACACGGUACUUGGACACUCCCCUUCGCAGUCCAGCAGCAACAAAAAUAAUUAUGUAUCUCGUACCAAGACCCACGCAGCCUCAUUACGUUUUACGCGACUUAGCAAAGUGGCCUCGUCCUAUUACCACCCCCUUCUGCGUGUAUGGCAGGUCGGAAUGCUGAGCAAUUAUAGCCAACAGGGGUGCGGUGGCAGCAACUCGGCGUGUUGAGCUUAACGCGUAUGCUCAGCCAGAGGGGAGCCAGACACGCCGGCAGAUCAAGUUGGUAACCUCCGCCAACCUUUGUCGUCGGAAAGCUCACCUUGGGCCCGCACCCUGGCAGACAGUCGCAGCAGGUGGUCAGCGCGGGUGUUCUCAGGAACCGUCACCUCAUACUCCGGCUGCUCGAACUCCACCGGGUCGCUGCCCACCAGCUUGGUCACUGUGAGGGAGAAAGGCGAGGUUACUGCUGUUCCUCGUGGCAAAGAUACAUCACUAUAUAGAUCUACCUGACUCUACAUCCGAGCCCAACCAAGGAGCCUAACACAAGGUAAAAGUUGACGGCUUGAAAGUGACAUGACGGGAAGUUCUCCAGGUAAAGCGAUUAUCACAGGAAGUCGAUGCUGGCAGGAGGAGGCGGUGUUUGCCAUUCACUGAAAUAUAUACAUGAUAUGCCUCCUUCAUAUUCAUAUACACGCGCCCCGGAAAUGUCACUGAGACAAAUGCUGACAGAGGCACUCGUCUCGCUGCAACACGCUCAUUGUAAACAAUAAAGAUAUAAA